rnacentral:rRNA from 1 species
CUCAUGUCGAAGUCUGACGGAGCACGCCGCGUGAGCGAUGAAGGCCUUCGGGUCGUAAGCUCUGUUGUUAGGGAAGAACAAGUAUCGGAGUAACUGCCGGUACCUUGACGGUACCUAACCAGAAAGCCACGGCUAACUACGUGCCAGCAGCCGCGGUAAUAGA